rnacentral:sRNA from 1 species
ACCGGGUGUGGUGGUGCACACCUGUAAUCCUAGCAGCUCUGGAGGCUGAGGCAGGAGAAUUGCAAGUUCAAAGCCAGCCCCAGCAAAAGCUAAGCAUUUCAGUGAGAUCCUGUCUCUA